UGUAGCCCAGAGAAGCUGUCACUGGUUC
rnacentral:piRNA from 1 species